AAACCCUGAACCAGCCACGCCGCGUGAGGGAUGACUGCCCUCUGGGUUGUAAACCUCUUUUAUCAAGGAAGAAUUUAGGAUAUUGAUAUUUUAAUUGACGGUACUUGAUGAAUAAGCACCGGCUAACUCCGUGCCAGCAGCCGCGGUAAUACGGAGGGUGCAAGCGUUAUCCGGAAUCACUGGGUUUAAAGGGUCCGCAGGUUGGCUAUUAAGUCAGUGGUGAAAUCCCAUCGCUAAACGAUGGAACUGCCAUAGAAACUGAUAGUCUUGAGAUUAGUAGAUGUAGGCGGAAUGAAGCAUGUAGCGGUGAAAUGCAUAGAGAUGCUUCAGAACACCAAUUGCGAAGGCAGCUUGCAAGGCUAAAUCUGACGCUAAUGGACGAAAGCGUGGGUAGCGAACAGGAUUAGAUACCCUGGUAGUCUACGCCCUAAACGAUGUUUACUCGACAUGAGCGAUAUACAGUUCGUGUCCAAGGGAAACCGUUAAGUAAACCACCUGGGGAGUACGUUCGCAAGAAUGAAACUCAAAUGAAUUGACGGGG
rnacentral:rRNA from 1 species